rnacentral:lncRNA from 1 species
UAGCCCCCGUUUGGUUCGGGGUUAAGAAAAAGUAGCUAUUUCAGGGAUAGGGUUAAGUUCAGGGUUAAAAUGGUGUUAAAAUUUUUUUGUGUUUGGUUGGAGGUUGGAGUUAGUUUAGGAUAGUGAAAAAAAGUGUUUGGUUGGAGUAGGUGGGAUAAGAAGAUAAUGAUUGAUAAAGAAGAAAAAGGUGAGAGCUCGGGAUGCGUGCGGGGUUAAAGUUGGGAGGGGGAGUGGGGUUAAUGAUUGAUAAAGAAAAAAAAUGUGAGGGCUCGGAAUGCGUGCGGGGUUAAAGUUGGGAGGGGGAGUGGGGUUAAUGAUUGAUAAAGAAAAAAAAUGUCAGGGCUCGGAAUGCGUGCGGAGUUAAAGUUGGGAGGGGGAGUGGGAUUAGUAAAUCCCACUAACCCGGUUUGGGAUGGGGUUUACUAACCCCACCCUAAAAGAAUAGUAUGUGGGUAUAAAUUGGGGAUUAAGGAGUUAUUCCACCCCUUAACCCCAACCAAACGGUGGCUUAGGAUUUUUGGGGUGAUCUUGGUCAAAUAUGACAGGUGAUAAGCUGAAAUCAUCCUGACAACUUUUCUUGGUAGUCAGAAGCUAUAAUUAUGAGGCUCAUGAGCCUCAGGUUUCUAUUGGCUGUUAAAACUUUUCUAUUUGCCAACUGUUAUAUCAAAAAUGACUAUAGCUAGUAGUAGAAAUAAAAAAAGAGCCAAAUAGGUUCUUUAUGUAGAAAUAAUAUAACAUCUUGAGUCAGCCGUGGGAUACUAUCGAUAACAUAAAGUAUUUGGUGCUAUCAAAUUUUUUACCGUAAAAUUUAUCACUUUUAUUAUUUUUAACCGUUCGAUUAUACUAAUCAACUAACCACCCACCCAUUCAAUCUUUAUUAGAGACCCACAUCAUUCUAACCACACAUUUUUUAAUCCAAAGUAGAAAACUUAAUAGCACCAAGUCAUUGGUGCUAUUAAUAGUAUUCCAACCUAGUUCUAACAUCUUUACUAUUAUCGCAUUAUCAAUCACAAUCUAUAUCACUUUUGCAUCAAUAAUUUGUCAACAGUUAGCCAACUAAAUUGGAUUAUGAAACUUGAUUGUAAUAAUUCAGAAAGUUUGAUGGAGAAGUUAUAAUAACUUAAAGUUUAAGUAGAAAAG